rnacentral:rRNA from 1 species
GACGAACGCUGGCGGCGUGCUUAACACAUGCAAGUCGAACGGUGAAGCGCCUUCCUUUUUGGUGGGUGUGGAUGAGCGGCGAACGGGUGAGUAACACGUGAGUAACCUGCCCCCUUCUUCUGGAUAACCGCAUGAAAGUGUGGCUAAUACGGGAUAUUCUGGGUCUGUCGCAUGAUGGGUCUGGGAAAGAUAUUGUUUCGGUGGGGGAUGGGCUCGCGGCCUAUCAGCUUGUUGGUGGGGUGAUGGCCUACCAAGGCGGUGACGGGUAGCCGGCCUGAGAGGGUGGACGGUCACACUGGGACUGAGACACGGCCCAGACUCCUACGGGAGGCAGCAGUGGGAAAUAUUGCACAAUGGGCGCAAGCCUGAUGCAGCGACGCCGCGUGAGGGAUGGAGGCCUUCGGGUUGUGAACCUCUUUCGCCAGUGAAGCAGGCCUGCCUCGUUUGUGGGUGGGUUGACGGUAGCUGGAUAAGAAGCGCCGGCUAACUACGUG